rnacentral:rRNA from 1 species
GACGAACGCUGGCGGCGUGCUUAACACAUGCAAGUCGAACGGAAAGGCCUGCUUUCCCUUGUGGAUUGCGGGUACUCGAGUGGCGAACGGGUGAGUAACACGUGAGUGAUCUGCCCCCAACUUGGGUAUAAGCCUGGGAAACUGGGUCUAAUUCCCGAUAGGACUGCAGGGUGGUGCCUGUGGUGGAAAACGAUUUUCUAGUGGUUGGGGAUGAGCUCGCGGCCUAUCAGCUUGUUGGUGGGGUAAUGGCCUACCAAGGCGGCGACGGGUAGCCGGCCUGAGAGGGUGGACGGCCACAUUGGGACUGAGAUACGGCCCAGACGCCUACGGGAGGCAGCAGUGGGGAAUAUUGCACAAUGGGCGGAAGCCUGAUGCAGCGACGCCGCGUGGGGGAUGACGGCCUUCGGGUUGUAAACUCCUUUCGACCGCGAGGAAGCCACCUGGUUGGAAGGGUGGUGACGGUAGUGGUAGAAGAAGCACCGGCUAACUACGU